GGAGUUGGACUCGGAUGGAGAUGAUGAGAGUAAAAAUAGUGACCAUAACAGACGCGAAGAAAUCGCAUCAGUUCACCUCAACAUGACCACAAAUCCUGCCGGAGGUGAAGGGGGAGCUUGUUUUCAGUGGCCAUUUCUGUGAAUUUGUGAAGAUCAAUUCUAUCAGAUGCUGUUAUGACUGGUUUUAAUCAGAAGAUGAAGGACUUCAACUUCCUGUGAUUAUUGAGGUGGUAGUUAUGCAAUAAUACAGAUCUUCACAGCUUUUGUUAAAGCAUAAACAUACCUAGUUAUUCUUUCUAUGCAUAACAUGAUCAGAUAUGUCACUGCCUGGCGGACAAAGCACAAACUCCACCACUGUCUUGUGUCAUUACGUCCCCUCAUUACGCAAGCUGACCUCUGUGGUUUGAACAACGUCCCCGUCCCUCGCUCGCCUGACUGCCUGUUCUCUCCUUCCUCGGCUCCCCGCCUCCUCUGUCAGCUCGGCUCACAGUCAUGACUGCCAUCCCGCCUGCCUCGGUGAACAUUCAACGCUGUCGGUGAGUUUGGUAUAGAUUGCAUAAAAACCAUCGACCGUUGACUGUGCCCCGCGGCUCGCUCUGGCAACGUCAGAAAUGGGAAAAAAUAAAAUAAAAUGAAAAAUGAACAAAAGGGCAAGUGGGCGCCACAUGCAAAUGCAGAGACGAAAACUGCACACGCACAUGAGCAUAAGUGCCACUCUGUUUCCGCUGUGCCCAAAGACCAAAGGUCACAAUCAACAUUCAUUGCUGUCGCUGGGUUGGACUGUGUAGAAAAGCUCACUGAACAAUGAGUGCAACUGUGGCCCAGAUCUGCCUGACUCGCGUCUCAGCCAAUCAGCCGGCCGGAUGUGAAGCACUCUGAUUUCUUUAUUUAUAUACUUCUUGUUUUUCACUUCUAUUUUCUCUUCUCCCUCCCAAGUGCUUGGAGUUUAAGGGGAAGAGAGCGAUAGACACGCAAAUAGACUUCUGGCUGCUUGCUUUCUUAUCCUCCUCUCCUCUAAUUGAUGGUUAUGUGUGCAGCUAGGGGGAAGGAAGCGGAGUGAAUGUGUAAUCAUUGGGAGUCUCUUCUCUAGAUGUUUCAUCCCUCUCUUUUUUGUUUGUCUAAUUAUAUAGUGAGCUCAGUUUAGUGUGUGUCUGUGCUGGCAGGAAAGACGGAUUGGCAGAAAGGGAGUACAAAGGAACACAAAAAGCGUAGAAGUAUUACAGCACUAGAAAAAUGAUCUAGUUUUGAGUGUAUUUCCUAUAAUAUUCCUUCUGGUGCUGUUGCAAAAGUAUAUGGAUAAAAGCUGUUUUCAAAAUGUAAAAAUAAGAUUGUUUUCACUUUUCACACUGAGGAUGUUUCAUUAUUUGUGUUUGAGCUUUAAGCCUGUCCCUGUGUGUGUCUCUGUGUGCACGUAUGAUAGAAGACCUGUCUGCUGAUCUCUGGGUGCAAUAUGUUAUUUUCCUUCUAUACUCACCCUUGCUCCCUCAUGGGAAAAAAAGCAGUCUAUAAGGUUGUCUUCUUCCUGUCUGGGACCAGCCAUGCUUUUGUCAUUGUACCCAUUUUGUAACAACUCUGUCCUUUAUCAGGUUUGCAAUUAAGAUAAAGUCACAACUCACAUAAAGUCUGCAAGGUAUUAUUACUGACUCCUUGAGUAAUUCAAUAAAGUUUAAUACAAACCA